UGGUGACAAUACACAAUAUCUGUGGACAAU
rnacentral:piRNA from 1 species